GGAGUACUCCCAAAAUUCUUGUCUUAGAUUUGUCUCAAUAUGAAUGUAUCUGGUCAUGUUAUAGUAUUUAGUCAUGUUAUAGUAUUUAGAUACAUUCAUUUUUAGACAAUCCUAAGACAAGAAUUUUGAGACAGAGGGAGUAGUUG
rnacentral:pre_miRNA from 1 species